AGAAAAUUAUACGAUGAGCGAAGUGGAUCUACUCGAUUUAGAUCAUUGGUUGAGCAAAUUAAAAACCAUUAAAGUGUUAUUUCUGUUUAUUGAAUGCAUGCAGUCUUCUUUAAAUGAUAUGUUUGUAGAUGUAUACGUUUCUAUGGAAUAUUUAAAGCAUAUUGUUUGUAUGUAUUACAUUAUUACAGAUAACCGUUAUACUUAUUGAUGUGAAAUAUGUAACGUAUUUGAUGUAACGCAUUAUUUCUGUUAAGCGAAUGUUACGUGUGUAUAUUCUUUGUUGUUACAAAUCAUCUGUUAAAUUGUUAAUGUAUGGAUGCGGAUUAUGUUUUGUUAAAACAUGGAGUUUCGUAUGGAGCGUGCCGGAAUAUACCGGGUAUGCAUUACAGCAUUUACAGGUACUUAUUUCUAAAAUGUGGUGACACUUAGGACAAUGACAUGUGUAACAUGUUAAUGAAAUACUAAGGGGAUCAACAUAUUCCAGAAACAAGUCCUAUGACUUGUUGAACGUAUGUACAUGUUUUGUAUUUGAUAUUUCCGCAAAAAAUAUCUUCUUUCUUAAUGAUCCAAAAUAGAAUAAAAUCUUACUAACAG
rnacentral:misc_RNA from 1 species